GAUGAACGCUGGCGGCAGGCUUAACACAUGCAAGUCGAACACAUCCUUCGGGGUGAGUGGCAGACGGGUGAGUAACGCGUGGGAACGUGCCCUUCAGUUCGGGAUAACCCAGGGAAACUUGGGCUAAUACCGGAUACGUGCGAGAGCAGAAAGAUUUAUCGCUGAAGGAUCGGCCCGCGCCUGAUUAGCUAGUUGGUGGGGUAAUGGCCCACCAAGGCGACGAUCAGUAGCUGGUCUGAGAGGAUGAUCAGCCACAUUGGGACUGAGACACGGCCCAAACUCCGACGGGAGGCAGCAGUGGGGAAUAUUGGACAAUGGGCGCAAGCCUGAUCCAUCCAUGCCGCUUGAGUGAUGAAGGCCUUAGGGUUGUAAAGCUCUUUCGUCCGGGACGAUAAUGACGGUACCGGAAGAAGAAGCCCCGGCUAACUUCGUGCCAGCCGCCGCGGUAA
rnacentral:rRNA from 1 species